rnacentral:lncRNA from 1 species
UCCUCUCCUUCCCCUCGCCCUCCCAAAUGCAGCACAGCAGUCAGGGCAGAAGCAGCCUGAUGGGAUCCAGAGGCUUCCCGCGAGCGGGAUCAGCCCUGAGACAGGACAGCGCCCAGCACAAGUGAUCCUGCAGGAUUUGCAGGAAGCCCAUGGCAUGCCCAGUAGAGACACGUGGGGUGAGUUUCCUGCUUUCUGUGGAGGGGAAGAGUGGGAGGAAGUCUUGGCUGAGGAGGACAGGGAGAGGAGGAACCCGGCAGCCAACCCACCUUCUGCACCAGGAGGUGCUCUUGUACGUAGGCGGCCACCGCAUCCCAGACGGCAACUCGCUCUGGAGGGCAAAGGAAAAGCAGGUCACACUCUGCACCUGCCGCUUCCCGGCAGCCCUCCCGCUGCCAGGCGGGAGUGAGGUGGCAGAUGGAAAGUGUCGUCUGCGUGCCAGGAUUGGCUGCAGCAGCGCUCCUGUGGUGGCUGUGGAGCCGUGUACCUUCGGUGUCGGUGCAGGUGGGUAUGGAGGCACGCCUCGCUGCGGGGCCAUCCUCGCAGAAGCUCAUCCUGUUCCGCCUCGUGCCAGCGGGUUGCUCCUUGUUGGCGCCAGCCAUGCCGGAGCUCAUCCCUUCAGGUGCGUCUGCUCUCUACCAGAUGCUCCUUCAGGAUGCAGGACCCACCAGCGUGCACCGCCUUCAUACCCCUCCCGGGUGGCCGUGUCACAAACGUCGCCACGGCGACGCGGUGACAGCAUGGCCAGUGCUGGCCGCCGCCCAUGAUGACGCUGGCACCAGCAGCCUGCUGCCCACCCCG